GGCUCGUUAGCCGUGGUAGGCAAUCUGCCUAGGAGAGCAAACUCCGAACAACAAACCAGGGCAGGUGAGGUUCGUUAGCCGUGGUAGGCAAUUCACCUAGGAGAGCAAACUCCGAACAAUAAACCCGGGCAGGUGAGGUUCGUUAGCCGUGGUAGGCAAUUCACCUAGGAGAGCAAACUCCAAACAAUAAACCCGGGCAGGUUGGGCUCGUGAGCCGUCAUAGGUAAUACACCUAGGAGAGCAAACUCCGAACAAUAAACCCGGGCAGGUGGAGGUCGUUAGCGAAAGCAGUUCAUCUAGGAGAGCAAACUCCGAUUACAAACCCGGGCAGGUGGAGGUCGUUAGCGUGAGCAGUUCACCUAGGAGAGCAAACUCCGAUUACAAACCCGGGCAGGUGGAGGUCGUUAGCGAAAGCAGUUCACCUAGGAGAGCAAACUCCGAUUACAAAACCGGGCAGGUGGAGGUCGUUAGCGAAAGCAGUUCACCUAGGAGAGCAAACUCCGAACAAUAAACCCGGGCAGGUUGGGCUCGUGAGCCGUCAUAGGUAAUACACCUAGGAGAGCAAACUCCGAACAAUAAACCCGGGCAGGUGGAGCUCGUCAGCCGUGGUAGGCAGUCUGCCUAGGAGAGCAAACUCCGAACAAUAAACCCGGGCAGGUGGAGCUCGUCAGCCGUGGUAGGCAGUCUGCCUAGGAGAGCAAACUCCGAACAAUAAACCCGGGCAGGUGGAGCUCGUUAGAUGUCGUAGACAAUCCACGUGAUGGGAACACCAAAGAAAAGGAAAAUAAAAAGGAACACAAGAAAAAGGAAAAUAUAGUAACAAAACAUCAAGAAAAGAAAAGAAAAAGCACCGAUCAUCCACCUUCAGGCCCCAACAUCUCCAAAAUUAUGGAUGAGUCUUUUCUGGGGAGAAAGAGGCUCAUCCAGACCAAAGAACAUCAAAAAGGGAUGAUAUAUAAAGGAACACCAAAAAAAAGGAAAAAAGAGAAAAAAAACAUCGCAAAAGUAAAGUAACAACAAUAACAGAACAACGUCAAGAAAAGUAACAUACAAAGAAACAUCAUCCACCAUUCGGCCCCAAACUAACAUCACCAAAAUUAAGGGUGGGUCUCUUCUGGGGAGAAAGAGGCUCAUCCAGACCAUAGAACAUCAAAAAGGGAUGAUAUAGAAAAGAACACCAAAAAAUAGGGGAAAAAAGAGCAAAAAAACAUCGCAAAAGAAAAGUAACAGCAAUAACAGAACAACAUCAAGAAAAGUAACACACAAAGAAACAUCAUCCACCAUUCGGCCCCAAACUAACAUCACCAAAAUUAUGGGUGGGUCUCUUCUGGGAGGAAAGCGGCUCACCCAGCCCAACGAAGAACAUCAACAAGAGGAUGAUAUGAAAUAUAAGAACAUUAAAAAACACGAAGAAAAGAAAUAAGAAGAAAAAGAACGGAAAAAAACAUCGGAAAAGAAAAACAAGAAGAAAAACACAUCGAGAAGAAAAAUAUAAGAAACAUCAUCCACCUUUCGGCCCCUAACUAACAUCACCAAAAUUAUGGGUGGGUCUCUUCUGGGAGGAAAGCGGCUCACCCAGACCAAUGAACAUCAACAAGAGGAUGAUAUGAAAUAAAAGAACAUCAAAAAAGAAAAACAACAGCAAGAAAACAAAGAAAAAGAUAAAGAAAAGAAAAGGAAAAAGAAACAAAAAGAAAAAGAAAAACAAAA